rnacentral:lncRNA from 1 species
GUCCCUCAGUCUAGGACAUAUUAAAUACAUUGCUGAAGAAAACACUGCUAAUGCCUAUCAGUCACUGAUGUGAUUCCAGCUUCUAUAAUAAUUUCAACCCCUUAGAGUUACAGAAGAAAUCUCUAACAGGCAGUAAAGUGUAGACAGCUAGUCACCAUGGCCAGUGGGCUCUUGAUUGGUGAACAAGGACAUCUUUUUUCUUCAGGGGUUGAAAUCCACAUCCAUGACUGACAACCCAUCAAAAGCUGGGACCCAAAUUUGUACAGAGACAAGGUAGCGUGGAGAGAAAACAACACCCAACAACCCAGAAGUCUUCAACCACCACUUCUUAUGCCUGGGUUUUAGUUCUUCAGCUGUGUCAUGUGGGAAAAUGUCACUUUCCUUCUGGGGAUUAUAGAAUUCAUGUCUCUUUGACUAGUUGUAGCUGGAAGCAUAUGCAAAUGUUUCCAUUGUGAUGGAAGCAACAAGCUGAUGUCAGUCGAUCUGACAAAAUUAAAAUCUGUUUAAUUUUGUCCUGGCAUCUUUAUCCCCAAAUCUGAAUCUACCAUCAGAUCCCACAGUUGUAAAGGUGCCACAAAUAUGAUGGAAUGUGUUUCCAUUUACUGAAUAGAUGUCCUGAAAUGUGAGCAAAGUCUUCAAAAUGUAGCCACAGGUUUCAGUGAGGCCUCUAACUUACACUUCUUAUAUCUGCACAAGAAGAGCAUGCCCCAGGAAACAGCAGUUGCUUCAGCUUGGGUGCUGAGUGAAGAGUCCUGUGAAGCCAGCUGGAAGUCUCUCUAUAGCCUGGAGCAGAACUGCAGCUCACCCAUCUGCCCUCAUGCACGUGACCAAGAGCCCUACACCCCUUGCACACCGUAGGAGAAUUUCUGGAGACUGUUAAGAAUAGUGCAAAGGAUAUGCUUGUAUUCUGAACACCCAAUCUAAUUGUUUCAAGAAAAAAAGUGAAUUUGGAUUUAGAAGAAUUUCCCAGAGCAAGAAAAGAGUAAGAGGUAUGCCUGCCUGUUGAAAAGCAGAAGAACUGUCCUGUUUCAGUCUGCCUUGCUAUUGCUGCCACCUGGCAUCAUUUUUCUCACUCCUGGAUCUAAGCAUCCUAUUUAGCUGAAACUGUCAGAAUCCCUUCAAACCAGAGUCUGAUCUUCACACAGGGCCUGAACUAAUAUCACAAAGGGACUUACAAUCAUGUUUGCUGGGCACCUAUUUAAAGACAGAAGUCCAGGACUGGUAUCAGCAUAGCUGUGUCUGGUAGACACACAAAGGUUCAAGGAGUACAGCCUAGUGGAAACAAGCUCGCAGCCUGAUUUUUGCCUGCCACGAUCCUGCAGCGUGACUUUGGACAAACUGUGUCCCCCUGGUGCUUCAGUAACCUUAGAAGUUAAACAAACAGCGAAGUGCUGACUCACAUCAGAGAGGACAUUGUGAAGCCAAGAAAGACUCCUAGAGAGGCUCUGCCUUAGUAACACAAAAAGCUAAACUGGGUUUUCAUGAUCCUAGCCUAGAAUCCCCAGAACUUUUAAUUUAAUACAGCUUUGUGUUUCCUGCCGCAGGAAGAAGGACUGUGACCAAGAGUAGAGUUGAAGCGGAGUUAUUCAAUAUUUGUGCACAAGAAAAUCCUAAAGCUUGAUGUUUGGGAUAUUACCCUUUCUUAAAAAAAAAGAAAAAGAAAUGUAUGAGAAACUGCUCUGUGCCUCUGUGGGUUAAGAGUUUAAUACGUUAUAUUGAUGAAAAAUCUAUUUCAAACUGUUCAUGUUGAACUUGUCAGGCAGCUUUGGCAGGAGCAGAAUGGGUUGGCAGACAGACAGCUUCCUCACGAGUCGGGGUAGAACCAUUUAGAAACCUCGGAGCUUAGAGUGAAGAAGGAUGCUGGGCAAAGAGAAACAAGAUCUAGGCUCUGAAAGCGUCUGCUCCUAUGUGAAAGCUAAUAGCUAUGGCCCCUAAAACGUUGACAUCAGCUCCUCAGGCAGAUAAAUGAUAAUUCUCAAGAGCAAAAUGUAAUUGUUGAUGAACCAUUCACCAACCUCAGAGAGCAGCAAAUGAUGGGGAAACUAGAGGGAGCCUGGGAUAUAGAAGAGAGUGAGCCAUAGUCCCACUUACCAAAGAAGAGGGAUCACUCUAUCACAAGGAAAGAAAAUAAAAUAAGUUUUAUUGUAGGAGAUUAUGGCACAUGAAAUGAAUUGGCUAAAGAGGAUUCUCAAAGAAAGAGGGAACUUUAUCGAGUAUAUUUUCUUCAAUGGUAAUUUGGAACCUGAUCCAUAAUUUCUACCUUCUCUAACUUUCCUGCUUUCCUGAGUAAAAAAAGUGGGGGAAUAUACAUCUCUCACUCUUUUUUUUAAUUUAUUUUUAAUUGGAGGAUAAUCGCUUUACAAUGUUGUUUUGGUUUCUGUUGUACAACAAUAUGAAUUUGUUAUGAACAUACAUAUAUCCCCUCCCUCUUGAGCCUCUCUUCCACCCACACCCCACCCCACUUCCCUAAGCUGAG